GGACAGGUGGCGGAGUGGUCGAUCGCGCACGCUUGGAAAGCGUGUGUAGGUGAAAGCCUACCGAGGGUUCGAAUCCCUCUCUGUCCGCCA
rnacentral:tRNA from 54 species